GCAAACUUUAACGCCUGAUUUCAACGUGGUCGAAAUAAAACACUGAAAAAGCUUCACAGCGACAUUUUUAAUGUAACAUCCCUGAUAUAAAUACAAGAAGAGAAGAGUUACCUUUCCAGAAACAGGGAAAAAUGACCCUGACAUACCUUUCUUCGUCAUGUUUGAAGGCUUCUGGAGUUCCUUCAGGUCUCACAGAGAUCUCCAAAUCCUCCAUUAAGCAGAUUCAAACCAGAGGUGUUUGUUUAAAGGUGUUUGAAUGGUGUGGGAGAAACACAGCACAGUUAUGUGUACAGGUUCCUGACUUUUCCUUAUUGUGCAAGGACUGUACGGGAAGUGUCUGCCCCACAGACUGUAAAAGGUCUGGUCUGCCCCAUAGGGUCUGCCCACACACACAAUGACAUAAACAGAGGGAGGAGGAGACUGGGACUGUCACAAGGACCUUCAGGUAAUGAAACUGAAAUUUCAGGGUCCAGAUUUGGACUCAGGAUGACUCUGACAUGGCUUACUGGGACACUCACCUCUCAUCCCAAACCAGUGUCUAUAACAAGCAAGUACGAUAAGGAUACAUGGAUCUCUAUCAGUGAAUCUGUCCGUGUCGUGGAGGAAACGAGACGUCGGAGGAUGUUAUUCGUGUCUCCGUGACUCACUGACUGACAUUUAAAGACCGUAUGACAGGGAGGAGGAAUCACUCUCCCAGAUGCUGCUGUGAGCUGAGCCUCAUCACCUGCUGCUGCUGCUGCUGCUGCUGUCCACACACACACACACACGCACACACACACACACGCACACAGAUGCCCCCCUUUUCUGGGUUGCAGUCUCAACUCUGUAGCCAUGGAAACAGCUAAGAUGCCGAGUGCAGGAGAAGUAAAAAAGGGUGUGUGUGUGUGUGUGUGUGUGUGUGUGUGUGUGUGUGUGUGUGUGUGUGUGUGUGUUUAGACGGUGAAGGUAUAGAAAAAUCUUCUGAAGGACACAUAUAGAUUAAAGAUGCAGCACGGGACUCAGACGUCCAGGCUGAGUGCUGGUCGAACUGCAGCCUGCAGGCUCAUUUGACCUCCUCCUCCUCCUCCUCUCACAGAGCCGAUGAACCUGACAGAGAGACGCUCCAGCUUCCAUCUCACCAUACACACACACACACACACACACACACACACACACACACUGACCUCAGACUGAUGUUCAGCAGGCCUUUUAACGGCUGAGCUGCUGUGUGAGGGGCUUUAAUUAGGAUAAUUGAUAACUUAAAAGAACAAUAGGUUACAUUAUCACAAAGACUCAGCUUUUUAGGAUUCAGGUGAUGAUAAGUUCUGAUGUUGUGUUAUUUCUUGCACCCUAAAAUAGAUUGUAUGUUUGUUAUUAGUGGCUUUCUCAUGCAUGCAUUUUGCAAAAACUGAUGCACAAUUUUGAAAAUACUGGAUUAGUCAGAAUUGAAGCUAUCCUGCAGAAUCUGCUCCCUUUCAGCCCCACAUAGAGACUCCUGUUCCUUUAUUUCAGUGCUGCCAGGUUGUCCAACAGAAACGGGAUUAUUUAGUGCUGUGUAAUUGUUAUUGAAUGUGCUCGGUAUUUAUUCGGGAUUAUUCGGGUUAACGUGGAAAUAAUGAGGUUGCCGAUCUGGAGGCGGUGUUGGGCGGUCACAGAGGGAUCGAUGAACACACUGAGUUAAUUAUGAGAAAUCAAUUAAAAGGAGGGAGAGGAGGAACCUGCAGGCUGGAGACGAUGCCUUCUUUCUUUUUCUUUUUGCACUAAACUAAGAAGACAGGAUUCAUGCUGCUGAUCUUUCACUGUCAUAGGUGAUCCAUAUUUGUCUUUGCCCAGCUCACACGUGCGCACAUUUGUCAACAAUUAUCACACACAACACAAAACCACUCUCUCCCUCUGUCCUCUUCGUCCUCAAUGCUCAUCCUGCAGACAGCAGAUCCAUCAGAGACAUAUGUUUGGUUUCCCUCCAAAAACUCCGAGGCUGCUGCUGCUGCUGCAGGUAAAUUAAUGGAAAUCCUAUCAGUCAGGGACGUGGACACACACACUCUCUCUCUCUGUCUCCCUCCCUCACACACACGCACAGGUCAGUGGGAUUGUCACCCUGAUGUUGAGUCGAUGGGUAAACACAGUCGGUCCGAAAUCUGCAGCCCGUCUGAACCCUGCAUGGACAGAGACACGCGCACUUUACUCGCAAAUUGAUCCCCAUUGAAACCUCUUCUCAAUCAGUUGCGCACGGGAUAAUCAGUCAUUACGCAUUGGCACGUCCUCACACACACUUGCAAAUUAAAUGCAACCUGCUUUCUAUAUUUUUUUAUAUUAAAGUGUACCUCAUAGUGCAACACACUAGCAGAAAGCUUUUUUUUUUGUUGGACUAAAAAGAAGAACAAAGACAUUCCUAAUUUAAUCUUUUAAUUAUAGUAUGCCUUUACUGUUUACUGGAGGAUAAUGCGUCUGGUGUCACUAGAAGUGGCAUCAGUAUAUAACUGGAGGAACUGGUAAUAUUUUCCCCACUUUUAUUAUAAUUAUGCUUUCUUUAAAAUCAGUAAUUGCACAUCUGGUUUAGUUCAGUGCGCAUGUCUCAGCUCUU